UACGUGAGGCAGCAGUGGGGAAUAUUGCACAAUGGGCGCAAGCCUGAUGCAGCCAUGCCGCGUGUAUGAAGAAGGCCUUCGGGUUGUAAAGUACUUUCAGCGGGGAGGAAGGUGUUGUGGUUAAUAACCGCAGCAAUUGACGUUACCCGCAGAAGAAGCACCGGCUAACUCCGUGCCAGCAGCCGCGGUAAUACGGAGGGUGCAAGCGUUAAUCGGAAUUACUGGGCGUAAAGCGCACGCAGGCGGUCUGUCAAGUCGGAUGUGAAAUCCCCGGGCUCAACCUGGGAACUGCAUUCGAAACUGGCAGGCUUGAGUCUUGUAGAGGGGGGUAGAAUUCCAGGUGUAGCGGUGAAAUGCGUAGAGAUCUGGAGGAAUACCGGUGGCGAAGGCGGCCCCCUGGACAAAGACUGACGCUCAGGUGCGAAAGCGUGGGGCAGCAAACAGGAUUAGAUACCCUGGUAGUCCACGCCCUAAACGAUG
rnacentral:rRNA from 1 species